rnacentral:rRNA from 1 species
UACAGAGGUCUCAAGCGUUGUUCGGAUUCAUUGGGCGUAAAGGGUGCGUAGGCGGCGCGGUAAGUCAGACGUGAAAUCCCUCGGCUUAACCGGGGAACUGCGUCUGAUACUGGAUGGCUUGAAUCCGGGAGAGGGGUGCGGAAUUCCAGGUGUAGCGGUGAAAUGCGUAGAUAUCUGGAGGAACACCGGUGGCGAAGGCGGCAUCCUGGACCGGCAUUGACGCUGAGGAGCGAAAGCCAGGGGAGCAAACGGG